rnacentral:lncRNA from 1 species
CUAUUUCAGACAUGAUCAUAUUUGGCUAGCCAAACCUUGCUAGAUGAUUUCACUCCAUGAUAUUAUUGUGUAUUGAUACCCUUCUGGGCACUGCUAAGGCGAGUGAAUUCAAAUCUUGGCCUUCUUGUUACUCUCUUCUUCACAGCAGAAUCAUUUUCCUUGAUCCUUCUUGAUAAUUCUAUGAAUUCUAUAGUGCAAGGUUGUCUGUCCAAAUGGCAGUCUUCAAAUAUACACAUUCCAAGUAAACAGAUACCAGUUUGAGAAGGGAGAGAAUAAAUCUACUUAAUGAAGUAGGGGAGGCUGAGGACA